rnacentral:Y_RNA from 1 species
AGCUGGUCUGAUGGUAGUGGGUUAUCAGAAUGUAUUAACAAUAGUGUCACAAAAGUUGGUAUACAACCCCCACUGCUAAAUUCAACUGGCUAGAA